rnacentral:lncRNA from 1 species
UUUUUUUUUUUUUUUUUUUUUUCCCUUUCCAUCUUCUCUCUUUUUUGGGAUACAGGGAAAGACAAAUAGUUGCCUUCACUUCAGUGCCCCUGCUGUUGGGGAAAUACUGUCAGUGAUGUGAUUCCUACAGAUGGGAUGGGUCUCAUGUAGAGCUGGGGUCAUGGAGGUGUAAACUGGCACUGCUCUGUUCCUUGGCUGGAGUAAGGCCAGUUUUGUCCAGCUGAGAAUCUGUCCUCAGUGUCUAAACAGUUAUUACACACUAAUAAAGAUUAAUGAUCAUAAAUCCCCACGGAUUAGACAUAAAAUGGCAAGUUUUGCUCAUUAAUCUUUAUUGCCAUAUUAUGGUUGUUGAUGUUAGAGCAGGCUCCCCCCUCUGCUGUGCAGAGAGGAGGGGGCUGAGCCUGAGGAGAGGGAGGGAGGACAGAACACACAGAACACACCAGAUGUCCACAUUUUACACUCUGUGUCCUGCCCCAGGCUCCUUGUUUCCUUGCAAGCCCUUAAGCAGCAGCAGAGGAUGGAUCCCAGAGCUUUGCCUCUGCCUGGGCUAUAAAACCCAGAUUGUUUCUGGUGAGAAGGGAUCAGAUCUCCUCAUUAAUAUUUCAGCUCAGCCUUUGCUGGAGCAGAUGGAGAAUGUGAAAUUUGCCCUGUGCUCUGCAGAGCUGGGAGAUUCCCCCCUGGAUCAUGGCUGGAGCAGUGGCAGCUCUGUUGAAGGCUGAAAGAACUCUACUCCUUCACAUAACCCCACUUCAUAUAAACAGUGGCUUUUGGUAAUAAAUAGGGCCAGAAAAAGCUGCAUCUCAGUUUUGAGGUGUUUGCAGAUGAAUAAACACAGCCAGGAGCUGGUGGUGCCAGUGCUGCAGGCACAAAGGUCCAUUGCUGGAUAAAUGGAAAGGACUCUGAGAGUGCAGUGAACUUCAAGGGUGGAUUUAAUGGCGUGGGGACAAAAUGAGUGCUCUGAUGGGCAGCUGGUGUCAGCCCUCCCUGCCAGGGGGGAGCAGGAGAGGCAGCACACAGCCUGAGGGCAGCCUGGCUGCCCUUCCCCUCCCCACAUCUUUCUUCAGGCCCAGAUCUGUGGGCACUGCAUCCCACUCAUCCCCAGUUCCAGCAAGGGGAGCAAAACCUAAAAUCCAAAAGAAACCCACAGGGAAAAACCUGCAGGUGACCCAAGGCACGCUGCUGCUGUGUGGCCUUAAAAAAAGGGAAAUCCUGGGAGAGGCCUCGGGAGCUGACAGAGGAGAAACUUUCAAGGUGGUCUCCAACCAGGUUAAUGCUGGAAAUACCCCAUUUUCAGGCCAGCAGGAGGAGGGGCAGCCAGGGAGCAGCUGGGGCUGCAGGAUGGUUUUGAUGUGUCCUUCACAGCAGCCCUGGGAUGCUGGACAGCCCUCGCCCUCCGUGGACACCUGACAUCCUGGGCACCUUCAUAUUUCUAUUUUCAUGUCAAAAUGUUUCUCAUUUUUUUCUUUUCAUGGGAUUUUACUGGCAGCCAGUGGGAAGGGGAAGGGGCCUGCAGUCCGUGGAGUGCUUUGGGGGAGGAAGGAGCUGCCUGUCCUCUCCAGUUCCCUGCUCCCUAAUUCCACAGCUGGGAAUUGGCUGCACGGCCACCUUCCAAGAGCUCUUCCCUUCCUUUGCUGCCGUUCCACUGAAAUUCCCUUUGGGAAUGCUGGGCAGCUCUGGAGCUGCAGCAGCCCAGCUCUGAGCUGGCUCAGCCAGGAUGAGCCUCAAUCCCUUCCCUGGGAGCCUCCUGGUUUUUGGAGGAUGGGGCGAGCGUCCAGCGGCCGCGAGGUUCUGCGGGGAUAAGCCGGGAAAGGCUUGGAAGUGGAGAUGGAAAUCUCGAAAGAUCAGACGUCUUUUGGCCAUUUCCAAAGCUAUCUGGUGUUAGCCAGACCUGAAAACCCUUCCUAGAAGUUUUAUUUCGGGGUAUUUUGAUCUGUUACUUUCGCUUUUGGGCUUAGCUAAAUCCAGGAAACUCACAGUGGUGUAAUUAUUGAAUAAAGACUAAACACACCCCAAGUAUUCCUGAACCUAUCAGGAAGGCUGCUCCCUGGUUUAUCUUCCAGGAAUAAUUCAGGCCAGCUCAGGCUUGAGUUCAGUCUGGUUUUGCCCCUAAAUAAUGAUUCUUUUUGAGGAAAUAAUGAGAGCAGGCCAAAAGGCUGUGACCUGACACACCAAACCCUUCCAAGAGGUGGAUAGAGAUAAAUGCUCCAGUGAGAGGGGCCAAUGUCUGGAGGCUGGAAGAGCAGCCUGGAGUAUCCAUGGCCUCCAAAAACUCACAUAGGCACAUUUUCUCCAAGAACUGUGGAUGGAGGUGUUGGAUUCUGCAUAUCUUGGGAUUUUUCCCUCUAGGAGAGAACAUUCAGCCAUCUUGGAGUGUCCCAGAACACCCAAAAGCCUUCAGCAUUUUCAUGUUUUGUUUUUUUUUUUCCAGGAUGGAUACUGUGAAAAGUCAGGAAGGGCCAGGUGUCCUUGAUUUGUUCAGCCAGGGUCAAGAAAGGUGGAUUAAGUGCCUGGUAAAAGCCAAAAAAAGGUGUGUUUAAAGAUAAAUCCCAGUCUCUGUCAGAGCUGUUGAGCCAGGAUCGAAUUUUCCCAAAUCCAGGUACAGCUGCAGAGCUCUCCAUCCAUUUUUAGCCCAAAUUUAGUCACAAAUCCUGAAUAAACACCUACAGCAUGGACUGUGCCUUCUGAGGGGCUUCUUGCAGGCUGGGGCUCAAAAUCCAAUAUCCCCCAACCCAGGAUUUGGCCCUGAAUAUUCCCUUUAAAAUCCAUGUGUAAAGUGAAUUUCCAGGGCCCGGCCGCUGUUUUUAUUUUGGUGAAUCGAGUGGUUUGUGCUUGGUGAGAGCUGUCCCUGUGCCAGGGGCUGCUGGAAAUAGUCACAACAUCCAAAAGAGCUGCAAUUCUGCAUUUUUCAAUAGCAAUACAACAAGGGGAAGCUGCUAAAUGGAGCUUCUUGUAAGCUGGAAAUGUGUUGGAGUAAAAUUUGUCGUUUCUUGUGGGGAAAAAAGCCUUAAACAACACCCUAAAAUUGUCCAAAGUCUUCAAUUUAAGGAUUUACAGUUUUGUUGGCAAAGAUCCAUGUUUAGCAUCAAUAUAUGGGAUUUCUAGACUUUCUGUCUUAAGGUGUGAAGUCUGCUUUUUCUUGAGAUAGGGGGAAAUCUGUAACAAGAAUAUUUCUACAUCAUUUUGGCUACAAAAAAAAAAAACCCAAACACCAAAAUAUGAGCAAAAAAAUGGAAAAGCACCCAGAUCCCAGUGGUCUCUGGUGUUGAGGAGGCACAUGAACCUGUUAGGAAGAAGAGUUUCCAACCUGCUGUAAUGCAAGUCCUUAUUUUACUUUAUUUUUAGGAUUUUUUUUACAGUAACUUCGUUUGGUUGCUUAACUGUGAAAGUCUCUGCUUUUUUAUCCCUGUGAAAGGCUGAUUAUUCUUUCUCAUGUUUGUCUUAUUUAUUAUUUAUCCCUUUCUGGUACUAUCCAAGAGGUGCUGAAGGUAUUUCCCAGCCUGCCCUUGAGCCAUAUGGAAUCUCUGUGGUAUCUCCUAACAGCUGGGAUGGCAGUAGACAGCUAAUUAUGAUUUUAAAUUAUAUUUAUAGCAACUUAGAUUGGUAUUUUUUUAGUGUCCUGGUUUGCUCUAGAAUUAGGGAUGAGGAGAAGCAAUCUUGUUUCUUAAAAAAUUGUAAUUUUUUGAGUUUUCUUUUUACAUCUUGGGGGCUUCUGAAGAAACCUGCUCACUUUUAUGUUUUUAGGAGGGAAGCACGAGGUGAAUUUCAUGUUCCUUUGAGAGGGGAUUGAGUAGCACCAGGGUUCAGUUCAGCUGGUAAAAUGCUCUGUGUCACAUCAUUAAAACCACCCGGAAUGCUGAGAAAACAACCCCUUUCCACCUGGAAAUUAAAAUCUGGUUGGUGACAAACUUGGUUUGUCCAAGGCUUUUCUCUGUCAGAUUUCCAUGGAGUUUGCUGAGCGUCGUCAGGAUUGGCCAAGGCAGGGCUGGGGACAGCCAGGUGUCACCUCUGGCCUGGAGGACACAUGUCCUGCAGGAAUAUUGCAGCAAUUCAUCUGCAGCUUCGUGCUCUCCAGGGGAUGUUGAAGGGAAUCCCUUAAGUGUGGGAGAGAAUCCAUCAGGUUUUAUUCUUUUUAUUCCCUUUCUCCCCUUGGAAAGGUCCUUCAAAAGCUUCCCCAGCCUUUCUGAUAAAGAAUAACAGAAUCAGACAACCACAGAGUCAUUUAGGGUAGAAAAACCUUUAAAAUCAUCGAGUCCAACCAAAAACUCAGCACUGCCAAGGCCACCACCAACCCAUGUCCCCAAGUGCCACAUCACACAUGUUGAGCCCUUGCAGGGAGGGUGACACAAGCCCUUCCCUGGGCAGCCUGGGCGCUCUGGUGCAGCUGCUUUCAGACAGCUCACGCUGCUUUUCUGGUUUGUUUUCUUUCCCCAACAUAUAAGAAACGUUGGGUAGCAGAAUGUGGAAUUGAUUAGAAGUUCAUAAAGCAGGGACCUCAGAAGGAUGUGGGUAUAAAUGCUUUUCAGGCAUCCGAGGUGAACUUUAAAUGGAGCUUUGGCCCUCAUUUGCUUUCUGCUUUUCAAAAACCAUUUAUGAGAAAGUGGAGCUGUCAAAGCCGUGCAUGAACUUUGCCUUCUUGCAAAUAACUUGUCUCAAAGUAAAUUGUCCAAAUGCACAA